rnacentral:rRNA from 1 species
UGGGGAAUCUUGCGCAAUGGGCGAAAGCCUGACGCAGCAACGCCGCGUGCGGGAAGAAGGCUUUCGGGCUGUAAACCGCUUUCAGCAGGAACGAAAAUGACGGUACCUGCAGAAGAAGGAGCGGCCAACUAUGUGCCAGCAGCCGCGGUGAUACAUAGGCUUCAAGCGUUGUCCGGAUUUAUUGGGCGUAAAGAGUUCGUAGGCGGUCGAGUAAGUCGGGUGUGAAAAUUCUGGGCUUAACCCAGAGACGCCACCCGAUACUGCUUAACUUGAGUUCGAUAGGGGAGUGGGGAAUUCCUAGUGUAGCGGUGAAAUGCGCAGAUAUUAGGAGGAACACCGGUGGCGAAGGCGCCACUCUGGAUCGAUACUGACGCUGAGGAACGAAAGCAUGGGUAGCAAACAGGAUUAGAUACCCUCGUAGUCCAUACCAUAAACGAUGAUUGCUAGAUGUUGGAAAUUUAUUUUCAGUAUCGCAGCUAACGCAUUAAGCAAUCCGCCUGGGGAGUACGACCGCAAGAUUA